rnacentral:rRNA from 1 species
UACGUAGGGUGCGAGCGUUGUCCGGAAUUAUUGGGCGUAAAGAGCUUGUAGGCGGUUUGUCGCGUCUGCUGUGAAAAUCCGGGGCUCAACCCCGGACUUGCAGUGGGUACGGGCAGACUAGAGUGUGGUAGGGGAGACUGGAAUUCCUGGUGUAGCGGUGAAAUGCGCAGAUAUCAGGAGGAACACCGGUGGCGAAGGCGGGUCUCUGGGCCAUUACUGACGCUGAGGAGCG